UGGAGGAUCACUAGAAAGGUGAAGCAGAGAUCAAUAAACGGUGAUAGAGACAAACGAGACUAGAGAUAUAUUACACUUCAAUUAGGAAAGCGAGAGAGUCUGAAUCAUAUGCUGAAUAAAAAUUACAUUCAAAAGAAAAAAUAACAUGCAAACACACAACUGCAGUCACGCACAUGGUGACACACUGCUCCUGUGUUUGCACAGACUGAUGAUCUAAAUGCAUAAACUUUAGCAUUCACAAAUACACUGACACUCCUCACGUAUAGACUUCUACAGUCACAUACUGAUAUUGACUGGUUAAAUUCACA